GCAUAUGAUGAUAUUUCCAAGUUUAUGGGGUGUACAUAGCUCGAAGUCCUAAACAAGGAGAACGUAAUUGGAGCUGCGAAUACUCAAAUGAUGUCAAUGGACUUAUUUAAGGU